AUGCUAUGGUGUGGGUAUUUUGCAAUGUAUUACUGGAGACGUUCCUAGGCUUCUAGGACUAUUUCAUCCUAGAGUUUUUGAAAACUGGAAAUCAUGUUCUGAAGAGC